rnacentral:rRNA from 1 species
AUGACAAAACCAAAGAGAGGAGGGGGAAUUGGGUUCGAAAAUAUGCACUUGUUCAACCAAGCCCUCUUGGCUAGGCAAAGCUGGAGGCUAAUCCAGCAACCGGAUAGCUUGUGCGCAAGGGCUCUGAAGUCAAAAUACUACCCGAAUGGAAAUCUCCUCGACACGGUCUUUUCCACACACGCGUCUCUGUCUUGGAGGGGUAUUGAAUUUGGCCUUGAGCUGCUCAAAAAAGGCCUCAUCGGGCGAGUUAGUAACCGGAAGAACAUACACAUACAAAGGGAUCAGUGGAUCCCAAGGAAGGAUGGCCUCAAGGCGGCAAGCUUCACCAGGAGAUAA